UUCACUAGUCUUAUCAAAAGGAGUUAAUGCCAUAUGGGGUCUUCCGAGUAUAAUGGUUUUGCCACGUUUAGUCCUAAAGUUUCAAAUUGACCACCCGUGGU